GGGGAAACUUGUGAACCAGAUUUCAACAUUUUAUAUGCUUUCCUAAGUUAUUGCUGCCAUCAUUCUGCUUUCUUUUCAAAUAUGUUUAUGGUGAAUUUCACCAGCGCAUUUUUAUACCCUCAUUAUCAUAGUUGUUGGAGCAUUGUUUCCAGUCUUUGGUCAAUCCUUCUGGCAUGACACUACAUAUACGACAGCUUGCAGGGAAAAAUUCACAUCAUAUUAUUGAGGCAACAUUUAAGGCUUUUGUUAGGGCCCUUAGACAAGCAACUGAAUAUGAUCUGCGCCGCCUCGGGACCGUACCUAGGUCAAAAGGGGUUCUAUCACGGCCUUGAUAUCUCAGAAGCAUCAUACGGGCCAAGUCAAUGACCCCAAGGGCACAUUGAUCAUGGAUAUUUAGAUGGGGUCUCAAGUUUUUCCCGAAGUCUUAAAACUUAUCGAUCUAUCACGGUGGCUGGCGGUCCUCAACAACGUAACGGAGACCGAAAGGGCACGUCCUCUACCCAACACCAGCGCCUUUCUCUUAAGUCGAGCAAUCCUACCUUAGCCGUUGCAUGUGUGGUUCGGUUAACAUUUUGAGAUGAUGGUGAGUGAAUCGUUUUCCAGAAUUAAUCUAUAGUUCCAUGCAUGCCAAAGUGCCUAGAGCAUUAGCACACUCAAUAAAGGGUUUUCAUUUGAUAAUAUUUGGAUAACAACUAGGGAUGGCAAACGGGCGGGUCGGGUGCGGAUACCCCCUCCCCCAUCCCCAUACUCACAUAAUAUUUUUCAAUCCACUACCCGGCUAUCACCCAUGGUGGGUACAAAUUUUCAAAUCCACACCCGCCCACGCGGAUACAUUUUCAAAUCCA